CUGGUACGUAUUUCGAUUAGGAAUGACCAUGGCACGAAAACAACAUCAGAAACCUAAAAGCUUUGUUUGUCAGUUUUUCUUGGGUACAUGCAGACGUCUUAAGACAAAGUUAUUGUUAUGGCUCUGUAAAAUCUCUGAAAAAAGGGUUUGCACUGUGCGUACAUGGGAUGUGGACCGGAGUGCUAAGCGUUUUCGUCUUCCAGUGAUGUGCGAAAGUUUAUUGAAACAGUGAUGACCCAUACAGCCAGGGAGCUGACUACAGUUCCGUGAGAGAAGGAAAAAGCAUGACAAAUAAAUAUGUUUCAUUAGAUAAAAACUUAUAUUUCGUCAA